rnacentral:rRNA from 1 species
AUUGAACGCUGGCGGCAUGCCUUACACAUGCAAGUCGAACGGCAGCACGGGAGCUUGCUCCUGGUGGCGAGUGGCGAACGGGUGAGUAAUACAUCGGAACGUACCCAGUAGUGGGGGAUAACGCACCGAAAGGUGCGCUAAUACCGCAUACGACCUAAGGGUGAAAGCGGGGGACCGUAAGGCCUCGCGCUAUUGGAGCGGCCGAUGUCGGAUUAGCUAGUUGGCGGGGUAAAGGCCCACCAAGGCGACGAUCAGUAGCUGGUCUGAGAGGACGAUCAGCCACACUGGGACUGAGACACGGCCCAGACUCCUACGGGAGGCAGCAGUGGGGAAUUUUGGACAAUGGGGGCAACCCUGAUCCAGCAAUGCCGCGUGUGCGAAGAAGGCCUUCGGGUUGUAAAGCACUUUUGUCAGGGAAGAAAUCUUUCAGGCUAAUACCCUUGGAAGGAUGACGGUACCUGAAGAAUAAGCACCGGCUAACUACGUGCCAGCAGCCGCGGUAA